rnacentral:sRNA from 1 species
GUAGAGGCUUGCUACAGAAGCUACAGAAGAAGAUGGUUACAUUUCAAGUGGGCAGGUGCCAUUUGCUUAUGAGCACCAUCAGCCACAUCAGCCACAAUUCUUUGAAUUUUACCUAAUUGUCUCUAAUUCUUAACAAUUCUUUGAGGUGAUCUGCAACUCUUUCACCAUCUGUAAUGCAGAGAUGCAGGAAGUUGGUGUUGGCCUAUAUCCUAGUAUCUCUUUGCUCAAUCACAGCUGUGACCCCAACUGUUCGAUUGUGUUUAAUGGGCCCCACCUCUUACUGCGAGCAGUCCGAGACAUCGAGGUGGGAGAGGAGGAUGCUGAUAUGCUAACUGGUGAUGAGCAAGUAUGGAAGGAAGUUCAAGAAUCCCUGAAAAAAAUUGAAGAACUGAAGGCACACUGGAAGUGGGAGCAGGUUCUGGCCAUGUGCCAGGCGAUCAUAAGCAGCAAUUCUGAACGGCUUCCCGAUAUCAACAUCUACCAGCUGAAGGUGCUCGACUGCGCCAUGGAUGCCUGCAUCAACCUCGGCCUGUUGGAGGAAGCCUUGUUCUAUGGUACUCGGACCAUGGAGCCAUACAGUUAAAUAAGACCAGGAAAAAAUCUUCUUUUAAAAAACUGAGCUCGAUCUGUCCUGAUUCCUGGUGCUGCUUCAG